rnacentral:tmRNA from 1 species
GGGGGUGAACUAGUUUCGACGGGGUGUGCUGUCCGGCGAGUAGCGCGAAGGCGCAUCGCAAACCCGUGAAAACCGGACGCAACAGGUACAUCUCGGACGCGCGUGCAAUUCGCGCCACCUCCACAC